rnacentral:misc_RNA from 1 species
GCCAGCUAUUAGAACAACAUCCAAAGUUGAUGCAGCUGCUUCAGGAGAGAUUGGGCCAUCUGUAAGUGGGAUACCAGUGGAAUCAUCGCUAUGUUCUGGCUUCUUGUCUUUAUGCCUAUAGAAUAUGUAUAAAGAAGCUUUGGAGAAAGAGUGUUCACCCUCUUGUACAGAAAAUGUUGUGUUAAUGGCACAAUCAAAUGUUUAUAAACCUUUUAUGUCAUUGUACAUUAUAUUUAGUUUGUUAGCUUGAGAUCUUUUUGUCAGUUGAUAUGUUCAACUAAAGUUUUUU